AGAGUUUGAUCAUGGCUCAGAACGAACGCUGGCGGCAGGCUUAACACAUGCAAGUCGAACGCUCGUAGCAAUACGGGAGUGGCAGACGGGUGAGUAACGCGUGGGAACAUACCCUCCGGUUCGGAAUAGCUCAGGGAAACUUGGAUUAAUACCGGAUACGGCUGAGAGGCGAAAGAUUUAUCGCCGGAGGAUUGGCCCGCGUUCGAUUAGCUAGUUGGUGAGGUAACGGCUCACCAAGGCGAUGAUCGAUAGCUGGUCUGAGAGGAUGAUCAGCCACAUUGGGACUGAGACACGGCCCAAACUCCUACGGGAGGCAGCAGUGGGGAAUAUUGGACAAUGGGCGCAAGCCUGAUCCAGCCAUGCCGCGUGAGUGAUGACGGCCUUAGGGUUGUAAAGCUCUUUCGCUCGGGACGAUAAUGACGGUACCGAGAUAAGAAGCCCCGGCUAACUUCGUGCCAGCAGCCGCGGUAAUACGAAGGGGGCUAGCGUUGUUCGGAAUUACUGGGCGUAAAGCGCGUGUAGGCGGGUCUUUAAGUCAGGGGUGAAAUGCCAAGGCUCAACCUUGGAACUGCCUUUGAUACUGGAGACCUUGAGUCCGGGAGAGGUGAGUGGAAUUGCGAGUGUAGAGGUGAAAUUCGUAGAUAUUCGCAAGAACACCAGUGGCGAAGGCGGCUCACUGGCCCGGAACUGACGCUGAGACGCGAAAGCGUGGGGAGCAAACAGGAUUAGAUACCCCAGUAGUCC
rnacentral:rRNA from 1 species